rnacentral:tRNA from 1 species
GGAGAUGUAGCUCAGUGGUAGAGCACUUGGAAGCAUGAAGGAGGCCUGGGAUCAAUUCCCAGCACUACAA